AGUGAACGCUGGCGGUAGGCCUAACACAUGCAAGUCGAACGACAGCACAGUAAGAGCUUGCUCUUACGGGUGGCGAGUGGCGGACGGGUGCGGAAUACAUCGGCAUCUACUUUUUCGUGGGGGAUAACGUAGGGAAACUUACGCUAAUACCGCAUACGACCUACGGGUGAAAGCAGGGGAUCUUCCGACCUUGCGCGAUUGUAUGAGCCGAUGUCGGAUUAGCUAGUUGGCGGGGUAAAGGCCCACCAAGGCGACGAUCCGUAGCUGGUCUGAGAGGGUGAGCAGACAUACGGGAACUGAGACACGGUCCAGACUCCUACGGGAGGCAGCAGUGGGGAAUAUUGGACAAUGGGCGCAAGCCUGAUCCAGCCAUACCGCGUGGGUGAAGAAGGCCUUCGGGUUGUAAAGCUCUUUUGUUGGGAAAGAAAAGCAGCGGGUUAAUAUCCCGCUGUUCGGACGGUACCCAAAGAAUAAGCACCGGCUAACUUCGUG
rnacentral:rRNA from 1 species